GGUAUGGUGGCACAGACUUGUAAUCCCAGAGCUGGGCGGUCAGCUCCUUGUGUCUUUGCUCAAUCAGCAAGUCCUAAGUCCCAGUGAGAGACCCUAUCUCUAAAAUCAGGGAGGAUGGCUCCUGAGAAAUGGCUCCAGAGGUUGUCCCCUGCCCUCCAUAUGCAUGUGUACCUGUACACACAUGCUAGGCACAAGUUUUCUCCCCUCCCCCUAGAGGAACAGGUUCUGAGUAACAUCAUUGUCAGGCCAUACCCACACUUUAGCUCAGAAUCAGUGCUGGAGCUCUUCACCCAAAGCUUAGAGGACAUACAUAGAAGUUCUGAAAGCCCUAAGCUCUCGGUUCCCAAACUUUCUGGGUUUGUGUUGCCCCAUUUAGGGUUUUAUUUAAAAAAAUAUUCUUAGGCCAAAAGAUAGCAGUUUCAUUUAUGAAGAGAUUAAAGCUUAACAAUUAUUUACAUCCUGAUAAACUUGUUAAGUGUUCCAAGAAAUCGCAAUGAAUAUAAUAUUUCAUGACGAAUGAAUUUAGGAUUACUAAUAGGGUGUGUAAAUUUGUUGGAAACUGAAGGAACUCCCAAACCACAAGGCACCAUCUCUCACUUGCUGUUCCUCACUGAGUUUUUCACAGGGCACUUUUGUUUAAAACACAGCCUCCACAUAUCCCCACCAAUUGAGGAUACAGUGCAUUGGAAGGCACUCAGGAUCCAGCCUAGUGCCCUGAGCUUCACGGCUCGUCAUUUGCACAGUGACCACUCAUGGCUGGGAACUGGCGUGCUUCCUUUGAAAGCUCAGAACAGGCGGCGAUGCCUCUAGUGCUCCAGGUUGUCUUGAUGCAGUCUGGGAAGUGUGACUUUAUGUGAUUGUUUUCCAGGCUCUUCUCAAGCAGCAAGUAGCAGAAAUCUUUGGAGGGGUGUCCCUGCAGGAAGAGACCACUGGAGGAACUAGCCAAUGGACUAGAUGAUACUUCAAACCAGAUCACGCUUAAGGGGAUUGAAAAACCGGAGUUGGUGAAAACAUGCUGACUUGCUUUAAAAACUGGGAGUGUUUGUCUACGGCCAAAGACAGACAGUGGCGUGGAGUUCCUCCUCGCCCACUUGACUCCCUUAUGAACUUCUGGGAUAUUAAAGGCCAGUGAGCCAGUAUUCACGCCAUGGGUUUGAAAUGGGGCAUCCAAUCGAUUGAAUGGACCACGGACCACAAAAAACAAUUUAAAAAUGAAACCCCAGAACAGAAAGUAUGAGGACACCUUGCCCAUAGCGAGGCAGGCGUGGCUCUGGGAUGGUUACCUCAGCAUUUUGGUGUUAGGUGGCAGGUCAGGAUGUGUUAGUUAUUGGCAUCUGUGUUACUAAACUUUGAAAAAUUAUUUUAUCAAGCCAGGGAUCAGUAAGUCUGUUUGUAAAGUCCAAUAGAAAACAUUCUAGACAAUCCAGGCCAUAAAACUACUCAAGUAAUUUUGCACUCAAGUGCAAAAACAAGAUCUUCAUGUUUAUCAAUCAGCAGGGCCAUGUUACAAUAAAACUUUAUC
rnacentral:lncRNA from 1 species